ACCUAUAGGCCAAGAAAGGUUAUUAAGGCUUAGGUCAAUAUUGGCAGGUGCCUCCUUCAGAAAAAUUAUCAGGGCAGCUCAUCAGGAAAAAAAAUAAUCUUGCUUAACUCCUUAUAUAAAUAAAUAUUUGAUUCAGAAUAUAUUUAGAACAUGAUGUCUUACAAUUUCCACAUCACGUUUGUAAUACUAUAAUUUAUAAAAGGAAAUACAUAUUUGGUUUUUAUCCCUUUUCCUGGCAAAAAAGCUGCAAAAAACCCUUGGAAUUUCCUAAGUGAAAUAAAGGCACCUUUUGUUAAGUUAAUGAGGUGACUCAGAAAGUCCCUAGGUAACCCAGAGAUAGGGCUGGCUGCCAAGGGGACCCAAAUUGGUGAUAAGAGGGUUGGAGAUUUCAGUCCUACCAGUCCUCAGGAACCUCUGAUCCAUAAAUUACACCACAGAGUUCCACCUAGAUGCAAGUUGGCCAAAUGUUUGUACCUCGUGACAGACUGUCUUUCAUCGAGAAGGUUUGAUUUCCUGGGCAAGAUGCUUCAGAUCCAGGAAUGAUGAUUCAUGAAUUCUGGAGACUGGCAUUAUUAAACAACAGGAUUUUAGAAAAUAUUACAUUAAAAAAUCAAAAUAUCCAACUAAGUAAAGAUGAAUGGCUUGUUCAGCAUUUUAGACAAAGGAAGUAAUAUUCCCUAAUGUUAUAUGUAAAUUGCUCUUUUCAUAAAUUUAGUACUCAAGUAAGAUGUUCUUGAAAAACAAGUAAAAAACAUACAAUCAUUAUUCCUUGUAUAAAUGAUUUUUUAAAGCACAUUAUAUUUUUCCAUAAUAGGGAUGGUUGUUUUCUUUCAGGUUCUUCCUAAAAUUUUAAAUUAAGAUUUAUUUACUUUUAUUUUGUUUUAUUUUUGCAGGAAAUAGAACCUGGGAAAAGGUGCAUACUGUAAACUAACACAUUUGCUACAAUCAUUUGUGUCAUUCAGAAAUAAAAAUAGCAUAUUAUUUUUCAGAUAUUUUCCACGCUAGAUGUUUAAUUAGAGCACCGAUGGCAGUAAGCCAUAUUUGUUUUUCUUAUUCUGAUAUAGGACUUAGUAAGUGUAAUAAACUAGAAAUAGAAACUAUUGAUGAACAAUUUUUUAAUUUGUAUCUUAACAUUUUACAUUUUUAAAAAUGUAUGCAUUUUUUUAUUUGUAUCCUUUCUGAAAUGAUACAGAUUGGUACAAAUUAUAUACUUCUGACUUAAUAUUUGGUUUGAAUUCAGAAAAGUGAUAACAACAAUCUAGAUAAGCCUAGAAGCAUGAUAGAUCUCACAUCAAGACUUGAAGACAAACAACUCCAAAUUAAAAUGGCAUCAUUAUGAUUUCAUUUCAGUCAGACUGCUCUUAGAGGUUUCCUAUAAGAACUAUAUUUUUCUGGCACGCUUUUUGUCUUUUUCCCAAAACUUUUCAUU